AGUGAACGCUGGCGGUAGGCCUAACACAUGCAAGUCGAACGGCAGCACAGAGGAGCUUGCUCCUUGGGUGGCGGGUGGCGGACGGGUGAGGAAUACAUCGGAAUCUACUCUGUCGUGGGGGAUAACGUAGGGAAACUUACGCUAAUACCGCAUACGACCUACGGGUGAAGGCAGGGGAUCCUCGGACCUUGCGCGAUUGAAUGAGCCGAUGUCGGAUUAGCUAGUUGGCGGGGUAAAGGCCCACCAAGGCGACGAUCCGUAGCUGGUCUGAGAGGAUGAUCAGCCACACUGGAACUGAGACACGGUCCAGACUCCUACGGGAGGCAGCAGUGGGGAAUAUUGGACAAUGGGCGCAAGCCUGAUCCAGCCAUACCGCGUGGGUGAAGAAGGCCUUCGGGUUGUAAAGCCCUUUUGUUGGGAAAGAAAUCCAUCUGGUUAAUACCCGGGUGGGAUGACGGUACCCAAAGAAUAAGCACCGGCUAACUUCGUGCCAGCCGCCGCAGUAA
rnacentral:rRNA from 1 species